rnacentral:rRNA from 1 species
GUUUCAGCAGCCGCGGUAAUACAGAGGGGGCGAGCGUUAUUCGGAAUCAUUGGGCGUAAAGGGCGCGUAGGCGGCCGAGCAAGUCUUGGGUGAAAUCCCUCGGCUUAACCGAGGAACUGCCCUGGAAACUGCUCGGCUUGAGGCCGGGAGAGGGUGGUGGAAUUCCCAGUGUAGCGGUGAAAUGCGUAGAUACUGGGAGGAACACCAGUGGCGAAGGCGGCCACCUGGACCGGUCCUGACGCUGAGGCGCGAAAGCGUGGGGAGCAAACAGGAUUAGAAACCCUCGUAGUCC